GACGAACGCUGGCGGCGUGCUUAACACAUGCAAGUCGAACGGAAAGGCCCUGCUUUUGUGGGGUGCCCGAGUGGCGAACGGGUGCGUAACACGUGAGUAACCUGCCCUCGACUUUGGGAUGACUUCAGGAAACUGGGGCUAAUACCGGAUAGGAGCUCAUGCUGCAUGGUGGGGGUUGGAUCGUUUCGGCGGUUGGGGUUGGACUCGCGGCUUAUGAGCUUGUUGGUGGGGUAGUGGCUUACCAAGGCUUAGACGGGUAGCCGGCCUGAGAGGGUGACCGGCCACAAGAGGACUAAGAGACGGCCCAGACUCCUACGGGAGGCAGCAGGGGGAAAUAUUGCACAAUGGGCGGAAGCCGGUGGCGGCAACGCCGCGUGCGGGAUGACGGCCUGCGGGUUGAGAACCGCUGUCGCCUGUGACGAAGCGGUAGUGACGGUAAUGGGUAAAGAAGCACCGGCUAACUACGUG
rnacentral:rRNA from 1 species